UUAAUUAGAGGGAUUGGAAGGUUCCGCUUAUGCUAACCCUAAUAUUGGGGGUCUGUUGAAAACCUCUUUAAGAUAUGCGUGUUGUUUUAUUGGCUGACUUUCAGCGCGCAUUGAGAGGAGUUGCUGCCCAGGACUAAAAAAUGUCAGCUGGGAGUCCUUCCUCUCCCUUAUUUCUGCCUCACAACCUGGACUCUUUAUUUAGCGGUGCCCCAUUUGUCGAGGCCGCAGUCAGUCUUGUUCUUAUACGCUGCUGUUGCGAAGAGUUCGUCUCUGUCAGCCUCCGGGGCAACGCCUUGAAUUUGGAGAGCCUGGGAAUGUAACAAGGGGUAGGGAAAAUAACGAGAGCUGAGUUGGCUUCUCCUGUGCUGUUCCUGAGCUGUGGAACUUGCAAUCGCAGUCGGCUCUGACACUU
rnacentral:telomerase_RNA from 2 species